GGCUCGUUGGUCUAGGAGUAGUUUCUCGCUUAGGGUGCGAGAGGUCCCGGGUUCAAAUCCCGACGAGCCC
rnacentral:tRNA from 1 species